rnacentral:rRNA from 1 species
AAAUUGAAGAGUUUGAUCAUGGCUCAGAUUGAACGCUGGCGGCAGGCCUAACACAUGCAAGUCGAGCGGUAGCACAGAGAGCUUGCUCUCGGGUGACGAGCGGCGGACGGGUGAGUAAUGUCUGGGAAACUGCCUGAUGGAGGGGGAUAACUACUGGAAACGGUAGCUAAUACCGCAUAAUGUCGCAAGACCAAAGUGGGGGACCUUCGGGCCUCAUGCCAUCAGAUGUGCCCAGAUGGGAUUAGCUAGUAGGUGGGGUAAUGGCUCACCUAGGCGACGAUCCCUAGCUGGUCUGAGAGGAUGACCAGCCACACUGGAACUGAGACACGGUCCAGACUCCUACGGGAGGCAGCAGUGGGGAAUAUUGCACAAUGGGCGCAAGCCUGAUGCAGCCAUGCCGCGUGUGUGAAGAAGGCCUUCGGGUUGUAAAGCACUUUCAGCGGGGAGGAAGGCGAUAAGGUUAAUAACCUUGUCGAUUGACGUUACCCGCAGAAGAAGCACCGGCUAACUCCGUGCCAGCAGCCGCGGUAAUACGGAGGGUGCAAGCGUUAAUCGGAAUUACUGGGCGUAAAGCGCACGCAGGCGGUCUGUCAAGUCGGAUGUGAAAUCCCCGGGCUCAACCUGGGAACUGCAUUCGAAACUGGCAGGCUAGAGUCUUGUAGAGGGGGGUAGAAUUCCAGGUGUAGCGGUGAAAUGCGUAGAGAUCUGGAGGAAUACCGGUGGCGAAGGCGGCCCCCUGGACAAAGACUGACGCUCAGGUGCGAAAGCGUGGGGAGCAAACAGGAUUAGAUACCCUGGUAGUCCACGCCGUAAACGAUGUCGAUUUGGAGGUUGUGCCCUUGAGGCGUGGCUUCCGGAGCUAACGCGUUAAAUCGACCGCCUGGGGAGUACGGCCGCAAGGUUAAAACUCAAAUGAAUUGACGGGGGCCCGCACAAGCGGUGGAGCAUGUGGUUUAAUUCGAUGCAACGCGAAGAACCUUACCUGGUCUUGACAUCCACAGAACUUUCCAGAGAUGGAUUGGUGCCUUCGGGAACUGUGAGACAGGUGCUGCAUGGCUGUCGUCAGCUCGUGUUGUGAAAUGUUGGGUUAAGUCCCGCAACGAGCGCAACCCUUAUCCUUUGUUGCCAGCGGUUAGGCCGGGAACUCAAAGGAGACUGCCAGUGAUAAACUGGAGGAAGGUGGGGAUGACGUCAAGUCAUCAUGGCCCUUACGACCAGGGCUACACACGUGCUACAAUGGCAUAUACAAAGAGAAGCGACCUCGCGAGAGCAAGCGGACCUCAUAAAGUAUGUCGUAGUCCGGAUUGGAGUCUGCAACUCGACUCCAUGAAGUCGGAAUCGCUAGUAAUCGUAGAUCAGAAUGCUACGGUGAAUACGUUCCCGGGCCUUGUACACACCGCCCGUCACACCAUGGGAGUGGGUUGCAAAAGAAGUAGGUAGCUUAACCUUCGGGAGGGCGCUUACCACUUUGUGAUUCAUGACUGGGGUGAAGUCGUAACAAGGUAACCGUAGGGGAACCUGCGGUUGGAUCACCUCCUUA